AUGAACCAAGUGUCUUCCACGGGCCACCGAGACGCCGUCGGGGCAGCGGCUCCCGGGGUGGCGGAGGCGGAGCUGCGGGGGGAGAGGACGGACCGAGGGACGCCCCGGCCUGAGGGCGGCUCACGGGCCGCGGGGGCAGGAUUCCCGGAAGGGAAACAACAGCAGUUUCUUUUUCUGCGCGGUGAUAGGAAGGUAAACAGGCCUCCAAGGCUCUGCGGCCCCAGGAUGACUCUGCCCGGAGAAGUCAGGUCUGGAGCUUCGAGUUUCCCCGCUGCCCCCGGGGGCGCUUUCUUCCUUACACCUUUGAGCCGGUGGGAAACGUGCGCCCGCGGCCCGCGGUGCCCUCCCCGGAGUCGGUCCCCUCCCCCAGAGUCGAUCCCCCUCCCCCAGAGUGGGUCCCCGCCCCGGGCUCGAUCCCCUCCAGGGCUCCGUCCCCUCCCCGGAGUCGGUCCCCUCCCCCAGGGUCGAUCCCCUCCCCGGGCUCGAUCCUCUCCCGGGACUCGAUCCCCUCCCCGGACUCGGUCCCCUCCCCGGGCUCGAUCCCCUCCCGGGACUCGAUCCCCUCCCAGGACUGAUCCCCUCCCCGGGCUCGGUCUCCUCCCGGGACUCGGUCCCCUCCCCGGACUCGGUCCCCUCCCCGGGCUCGAUCCCUCUCCCGGGACUCGAUCCCCUCCCGGGACUCGAUCCCCUCCCCGGGCUCGGUCCCCUCCUCGGACUCGGUCCCCUCCCCGGGCUCGAUCCCCUCCCAGGACUCGACCCCCCUCCCCGGACUCGAUCCCCUCCCCGGACACGAUCCUCUCCCGGGACUCGGUCCCCUCCCAGGACUCGAUCCCCUCCCCGGGCUCGAUCCCCUCCCGGGACUCGGUCCCCUCCCGGGACUCGAUCCCCUCCCCGGGCUCGGUCCCCUCCCGGGACUCGGUCCCCUCCCGGCGCGCACACCCCCCGACCCGAACCCGCGCGCGGCGGGACACAGCGCGCCUAGAGGACAGCCGGGCCGCCGGUCCCCGCCAAGCGCAGCCGCCCCCGGGGCAGGAGACCGAGCCCCCCGCGCCCCCCGCGCCCCCCGCCCCGCGGGAGCCACUCACCAGACAGCGGACGGCCCAGGCCCCCCACAUGGUCGCGGGCGCUCCCGCCCGACCGCCGCAGCCUCCGCGUCCCCGCCGCGCGCCGGAGGGACCGCCUCGUGGCCCCGCCCCGCCCGCCCCUAGCCCCGCCCCUCCCGCCAUAGCCACGCCCCUUUCCCGCCCGAGCCCCGCCCGUUUCCCGCCCUAG
rnacentral:lncRNA from 1 species